GGGAGCCCUCUGGGGAUGGGCAAGGCCUUCCAGGACAGGCUCGGUUCUGGUCCCCUGCUUUUUGAGGUUGGGUUAAAAUGCCGACCAUGGCAGAGGGGUUACAACUCAGGUUCCCACACCUCGCUUUUCACAGCCUCCGAGGGCAGCAGUGCACAUGGGGGAGACAUCUCCCACGAGGCCAAGGCCUCCAGUGCUCACCGAUGCCCUCUGUGAAGUUGGGGUAGAACUCGUCAGUGAAAAGGGGCUCGGGCAGCUCACGGAAGUACAGCUUCAGCAUGCCUGCGAUGGCGUUCACGUCCAUCUCGCUCAUCAUCACCGACACGUCCUUGUUAUCUGGAAAGAGCAUGGAAAUGCAGCGGCCUCCUUGAAGAUCCUGAUAAAUGAAGAAAAGACACAGAGAAGGAUGUGACAUGCCUGGGCCAUGGAGCACUCUGAGAUCUCAUCGCGGACACCACUGCCCACACCUCCAUCCCGUCCUGCGCAGGCCGACACUCACUGACGUUGAAGCCUGCCUUCAGUGCCUGGAUGUCCGUGGCCACCCCAGACAUGCGGUAGAUGCCCACCUCCUCCAUGCCUCGGCGCUCGAUCUCCUCCACACACUGGCGCACGAUGUAGGGCACCUUGGACCUCUCUCUCCUGCGGGAGGAGGGAAUGUUCUCAGUGUCCUAACAGCCCUGCUUGGGCCAUAACACAGGAGACCUGCUCCCUAUGUGCACACCCGGAGGUGGGGUGAGGACGGUGACGAAGGUACCCAGGUCUGGGGCUGCACACAGAGCCUUCUGCAUGCCUGUCCUCCCUCUGCAAGCUCUGUCCUCAUGGCAUGUACUUUCUCAGGAACCUUUCAAGCGGCCAGAACCCCUGCGAAUCACACAUGACCUUUGCGGGAAGGUCAGGAGGCCUGUCUAAGUCAAGUCAGCACGGGAAGGGCAUCUGACAGAUUCCAGGCCUGGGGUUAGCAGCCUGUGCCCCCGUCUGGGAGGUCAGACCCGGUGUUGGUCCUGCCACCCACGUGCUGUGUGAGAGGAGAAUCCCUGACCCCUGCCCUGGGCCUGGGCCUUAACACACAUCCGACGAAUGAAUGAAGGGUUGCCUCAGCACCGGUGCUCCAAGUCCUGCGAUGCUAAGUGCUUUUCUCCUCUGAGUCUUAGCAAUGGACAAUUCCAAUACCUCCACACAGGACACUAGAGUAAGAAUCCUUCACAGUUAGAACGCAGUGCUGUGCGGAGGCCUUAACUUGAGUUCUGUUUUGCACCUGGAUUUACCAGCACAUCAAAGCUGCUUCGCAAGCCCCCUCAUUAGCAGGGCUUAUCUGGGGGAGCUGCUGAUGGAGUCCUCGCUGCUCAUGCCCACAGCCCUCCCAGAGUGCUAUGCGAGUGGGGGUGGGGCGUGGUGUUUAGACACAGAUAGGAGUCCAGGGUAUGACUGAUGGAGGCCCCGGCCCACGUGACCAGCAAGGUCAGAGGCCCAGCCAGAUUCCAUCCUAGGGAGGCAAAUGAAUUCUCAGAGGAAGUGGUCUAUGUCUGCAUGAACUGCUCUCAAACCAACAAACAGGCUUCUCUUGGCAACUGACUCGUGACAAAGGGGCAGGGGUUACAACCAUUCAACAGGAAUCUGGGACCGUGACUAAUUCCAAGCAAGGGCAGAAAACCCUGCACUUGGGCAGUUCCUGGAGCCAGCCUACUGCUUCCAAGCAAGGUGGCAAGGACAUUCCUGAGCUGGUUUGCAGGAAACACAGGAGGUAGCUGAAGACGCCGUGUUCCCUGGGGCCUGACCUCACCGUGCAGUGGCCACGCACAGAGAGGAGAGACCCACACAUGCUCUUUUCUGCAGAAACAGCUGAAGGGACAGGCACCCUCAGUGCGUGAGCCCAAGCCCCUCCCCACUCACUUGGUGACCACAGCAAUCUUGACUCCGAAGACCCCUGUCUGUUUUCGGGACGGCAUCCUCUUCAAGCUGAACUUCCUGCUGUUGAACUUGACCGAGAGCUUUACUUCGAUCUACAGUGGGGAGAAGGGGCACAGUCCUCUAAUCCUUCUGGUCCUCAUAGCCCAAGGUCCCAAGGACCCCUGGGAGUCUCAUCAAAUAUUUCCACCCCCAAGGCAUGCAGAGGUCUCAGCAUGAGGUGGAGCCGCCCCUCGGGGAAGCCCCUAGUCUACUUCAGCAAGAGCCAGGAUUGUUGAAGAUGAUGUAAACGACUGGUUUCUGCAGAAGCACCUCCUAAAAUCCCCGCUGCUUCUCUUGCUUGCUUACUUUUUUUUAAGAUAUGGGAUCUUGCAAUGUUGCCCAGGCUGUAAUCAAACUCUUGGGCUCCAGUGAUUCUCCUGGUUCAGCCUCCAGAGUAGCUGAGAUUAUAGUGUACUGUGACCAGCUUUCUCUUAGUAACAAUUAAAAAUUAAGUAGGAAAGACAGAAU
ensembl:lncRNA novel transcript